rnacentral:rRNA from 1 species
UACGGAGGGUGCAAGCGUUAUCCGGAUUCACUGGGUUUAAAGGGUGCGUAGGUGGACAGGUAAGUCAGUGGUGAAAUCCCCCGAGCUUAACUCGGGAACUGCCGUUGAUACUAUCUGUCUUGAAUAUCGCGGAGGUAAGCGGAAUAUGUCAUGUAGCGGUGAAAUGCUUAGAUAUGACAUAGAACACCGAUUGCGAAGGCAGCUUACUACACGAUCAUUGACACUGAGGCACGAAAAGCGUGGGGGAGCAAACAGG